rnacentral:rRNA from 1 species
AGUGAACGCUGGCGGUAGGCCUAACACAUGCAAGUCGAACGGCAGCACAGUAAGAGCUUGCUCUUACGGGUAGCGAGUGGCGGACGGGCGAGGAAUACAUCGGAAUCUACUUUUUCGUGGGGGAUAACGUAGGGAAACUUACGCUAAUACCGCAUACGACCUACGGGUGAAAGCAGGGGAUCUUCGGACCUUGCGCGAUUGAAUGAGCCGAUGUCGGAUUAGCUAGUUGGCGGGGUAAAGGCCCACCAAGGCGACGAUCCGUAGCUGGUCUGAGAGGAUGAUCAGCCACACUGGAACUGAGACACGGUCCAGACUCCUACGGGAGGCAGCAGUGGGGAAUAUUGGACAAUGGGCGCAAGCCUGAUCCAGCCAUACCGCGUGGGUGAAGAAGGCCUUCGGGUUGUAAAGCCCUUUUGUUGGGAAAGAAAAGCAGCAGGUUAAUACCCCGCUGUUCUGACGGUACCCAAAGAAUAAGCACCGGCUAACUUCGUG